rnacentral:lncRNA from 1 species
CUCCACAUCCUUUGAGAGAACUGACAUCUUAUUGGCUCCAACUUGGAAUCCCUUCCAAAACAUAAGCUAAGGAGAGGGGUUGUACCUGUAGAUCCACAUCCUAUGCACAUCGCCUACUUCCCAACUUGAUAUAAGUGGGUUCACAUGUGCAUGCAGCGGAAUUACCUGGCUCUAAAUAUUUUGGGAAUGAUUAACCUCCCCACC